rnacentral:sRNA from 1 species
UAAAAUAUUUAUGUGUAAUGUAUCACACUAUUUUUGCCAGCUCCAAAAUGUUACUUUUAGAAAAUAAAUGAGAAUAGGAUAUUUGUUUUUUGUCUUUUUCAUAAUGAGUUAACUUUAUGUUUACGGAGGAUAGAAUCUCAAUAUUAAAAAGGGGUAACAAUUUAUACGAUUAAUUAAAAUUUUAUGUACAAUGUAUCACACCAUAUCUGCUAGCUCUAAAAUGUAAUAAAUAAGAAUAUAAUAUAUAUUUUUUGUCUUUUUCAUAAUGGGUCAACUUUAUGUUUAUGAAGGAUAGAAUCUCAAUGUUAAAAAGGGGUAACAUUCAUUAGAUUAAUU